ensembl:snoRNA
AUCCUUCUGUAGUUCAUAAGCGUGAUAACUAAGUGUUCACACACGUGUGAAAUGUCAAACCACGUUACAUCAGCACAAUACUCAUUUGAUG